CACCCUAGUCUUCACUCCAUCUGCAAUUUCACUCCAUCACAAUUUCACUCCUUCUGCAAUUUCGUGAAAUCAAUUUCUGACUACUCAAUUUUAAGAUUUCCCCUUCGCCUCUCUUCCACCGCAUCACCAAAUCUCAAACCCUAGUCGCUGCUUCUGCCGAAAGCUCGCGGCAAUUCGGAGGGGGACGCGCUCCACGCGAACCGCCGCUGCUCGAGUAGCAAGCACCAGCGGUCGGCGCCUCCGUCUCAGUCGCGAAUCGGGCCAGAUUCUGCAGUGAAUCGCGUCCUCCGCCUUCUCCGCAAUUCGGCGCCUCCGCCUAGGCCACGAUUCGCAGCCACCACUAUGUGAAUCGCCCUCCUCUUCUAAGCCUCUGCCGCCACCGCCGCCUCGGUCUAUCUCUCCGCCGUGCUUGAGUACCUCGCCGCUGAGGUGUUGGAGCUUGCUGGAAAUUCUCCUAAAGACAACAAGAAGACAUGAUUGUUCUCCCAAACAUUCACCAGACUCCUAAAGUGAGUUAUGAAAGCAUGCAUGAAUUUUAGGGGAUUUUUGUUGUGAAUUAAAUGGUUUUUCGUUGAUGGAAUUGAGGCAUUCGAAAUCUCACAGAGCAGCGUUUCUAUGUGCCAUUUUGGUCAACCCACUUGAUAUGGCUAAGACAAGAUUACAGGCACAAGCAGCUGGAGUCCCCUACUCGGCUACUCCUAUCCAUUAAAUAAAAAAAAAAUGUUGCGCUAGUUCAUGGGAUUUCCAUGGGUGAAGGUGCAUCCUUAAUGGUCCCAAUGAAGUUCUCUGUUGUCACAGAGAAAAGUGUUUUGCAACUCCGGAGGCAAGCAAUAUUGGCUUUCAUACUGAUUGUGAUUUUCAUACAUGCUAUCUCACCUUUCUUUGUGGAUUGAGCUGUACAUCUUGUAUUCUUGCAUCAUCUAACAUAACAUACUUGUGGGAUUCAGAAAGACCUCAACACCAAGAUUGAGAAGUCGAGGAAGCAGAUAAAAGAAUGCAAAAACAGAGCAAAGAAAAUAUGUGGUGUUAAGAAGAUGGAAGUUUGGAUGGAUGGAUUGCUUUUGACUUAAAGCUACUUCAGAGUAUCAUUUUUCGUUGAAAAUUGUAAAUGACUACUCUAGCUACUUAGAUACAUUACUUUUGUUAGUAAAGUAUUGGAUGGUUAAGUUAUUUGGAUAUAUUUGCAUUUUUUAUUAUGGAUGGAUGGAGUUAUUGGGAUGGUA